rnacentral:rRNA from 1 species
GUAGGGUGCGAGCGUUAAUCGGAAUUACUGGGCGUAAAGCGUGCGCAGGCGGUUCGUUAAGUUCGUUGUGAAAGCCCCGGGCUCAACCUGGGAAUGGCAAUGGAAACUGGCGGGCUGGAGUGUGGCAGAGGGGGGUGGAAUUCCGCGUGUAGCAGUGAAAUGCGUAGAGAUGCGGAGGAACACCGAUGGCGAAGGCAGCCCCCUGGGCUGACACUGACGCUCAGGCACGAAAGCGUGGGGAGCAAACAGGAUUAGAUACCCUGGUAGUCCACGCCCUAAACGAUGCUCACUAGGUGUUGGGGAAGCGAUUCCUUGGUACCGUAGCUAACGCGUGAAGUGAGCCGCCUGGGGAGUACGGCCGCAAGGUUAAA